rnacentral:siRNA from 1 species
UCCAUACACGGUUUUGUCUGCUC